rnacentral:rRNA from 1 species
GAUGAACGCUGGCGGCGUGCCUAAUACAUGCAAGUCGAGCGAACAGACGAGGAGCUUGCUCCUCUUACGUUAGCGGCUGACGUGUGAGUAACACGUGUAUAACCUACCUAUAAGACUGGGAUAACUUCGGGAAACCGGAUCUAAUACCGGAUAAUAUAUUGAACCGCAUGGUUCAAUAGUGAAAGACGGUUUUGCUGUCACUUAUAGAUGGAUCCGCGCCGCAUUAGCUAGUUGGUAAGGUAACGGCUUACCAAGGCAACGAUGCGUAGCCGACCUGAGAGGGUGAUCGGCCACACUGGAACUGAGACACGGUCCAGACUCCUACGGGAGGCAGCAGUAGGGAAUCUUCCGCAAUGGGCGAAAGCAUGACGGAGCAAAGCCGCGUGAGUGAUGAAGGUCUUCGGAUCGUAAAACUCUGUUAUUAGGGAAGAACAAAUGUGUAAGUAAAUAUGCACGUCUUGACGGUACCUAAUCAGAAAGCAACGGCUAACUACGUG